ensembl:lncRNA
GUCGGAGUGGGGAGGCCACAGCCGCAGGUCUCAGUGGCUCUGGGCCAGGACCGACGCAGACCUGGCCGAGCCCAGCCCCUUUCUUCACGUGCAGCUGGAGGACAGUGUGGCUGUGGCCCGGGGCCUCUUUCCUUCUUCCCCGGCCACAAAGAAGGCGCCGCCCUCUCUCCAGACCGGGACACGUGGUUCCCAAAUACCACUGGACGCUCACACCCCGUCACCGUCUGUCUGACUCCAACUCUUUACAUAUGAAGGAUACUAACUGUCAUUUCGGUGGGUAAGAAGAGACAGAAGUUGACAGAGGGGAAGUCACUGCUCAAGGUACACAUCUAAGAAGAGGUGGAGCAGAAAUCUGAAACAAGAUCUUUCUAGAUCCAUGCCUUGGAGUGUGUACAGCCUCUGUGGAACCUUCCCCUCUCCCACAUCUUGCAUACUCCAUGAUUCAGGAACUCUGAGUUCCCACAGUCUCAGGAAGGGGAGAAACCUUUUGCCAGACCCAGCUACCCUUGCAAUGCCCCAGCAGCAAACCUACACUUUGAUUUGCUGUGUGGAUUAAAUAUUUGCACAGACUAGACACUCGGUAAACAGUGCUGUGCCGUGUGCUCCACACAGCUGCUCAGUCGUGUCUGACUCUUUGCGACCCCAUGGACUGUCGCCCGCCAGGCUCCUCUGUCCAUGGAAUUCUCCAGGCAAGAAGACUGGAGUGGGCUGCCAUUUCUUUCUCCAGGGGGUCCUCUCCACCCAGGGAUCGAACUCAUGUCUCUUGAGUCUCCUGUAUUGGCAGGUGGAUUCUUUACCACUGUGCCACCAGGGAAGCCCACACUUAAUAAACAAAAGCUGGCAUUAUUGCCUUUUUUUUGUUUUUU